rnacentral:rRNA from 1 species
UACGUAGGGUGCAAGCGUUAAUCGGAAUUACUGGGCGUAAAGCGUGCGCAGGCGGUUUUGUAAGUCAGAUGUGAAAUCCCCGGGCUUAACCUGGGAACUGCGUUUGAAACUACAAGGCUAGAGUGUGGCAGAGGGGGGUGGAAUUCCGACGGUGUAGCAGUGAAAUGCGUAGAGAUGUGGAGGAACACCGAUGGCGAAGGCAGCCCCUGGGUUAACACUGACGCUCAGGCACGAAAGCGUGGGGAGCAAACAGG